CGGGUGAGUAACGCGUGAGGAACCUGCCUCAAAGAGGGGGGACAACAGUUGGAAACGACUGCUAAUACCGCAUAAGCCCACGGCUCGGCAUCGAGCAGAGGGAAAAGGAGCAAUCCGCUUUGAGAUGGCCUCGCGUCCGAUUAGCUAGUUGGUGAGGUAAUGGCCCACCAAGGCGACGAUCGGUAGCCGGACUGAGAGGUUGAACGGCCACAUUGGGACUGAGACACGGCCCAG
rnacentral:rRNA from 1 species